rnacentral:rRNA from 1 species
AUGUCGUUGCAGGUCGCAUGCGUGCCGAGUCGAGCUGAAUGUGUGGUGUUGGACAAGAUGCAGUACGGUUGGUGUCACCGUGCAGCUCAUUGGCUAACAGCAUGCAGUUUGAUACAUCUGUUUUACAGUUCUUUUGCUAUGUCCUGUGGUAUCUGUGUCCUAUGUUGGGCCAAAGUGUGCAGGGCAAUAGGGCUUGCGUGGAGUUUGGGGGUAAGCACAUUGCAAAAAUUGCAGUGCGGUUUGGCGACAGUGGAAUUGCGGUGUGGUUCGGCGCCCGUCGAGGUGAAUUUCGUCCACGGGGACCUUGUGUUCUUUUUUUGUCAAAAAAAUUAUGCAUGA